rnacentral:lncRNA from 1 species
AUGCAGAAGGACAGCGGCGAGCUUGUGGACCUGUACAUGCGGCAGAAAGUCUCUGCUAGUAACCGCGUCACCGGUGCCAAGAACCAUGCAUCCAUCCAGAUGAACGUGGUGGAGGCUGACAAGGUCACAGGCAGGUUUAAUGGCUAGUUUAAAACGUAUGCUGUCUGCAAGGUCAUUUGCAGGAUGGGUGAGUCAGAUGACUACAUUCUCUGAUUGGCCAAGGCCAGUGGCAUCAUCUGAAAACAUGUUUGA